AUUGAACGCUGGCGGCAGGCCUAACACAUGCAAGUCGAGCGGAUGAAGGGAGCUUGCUCCUGGAUUCAGCGGCGGACGGGUGAGUAAUGCCUAGGAAUCUGCCUGGUAGUGGGGGAUAACGUCCGGGAACGGGCGCUAAUACCGCAUACGUCCUGAGGGAGAAAGUGGGGGAUCUUCGGACCUCACGCUAUCAGAUGAGCCUAGGUCGGAUUAGCUAGUUGGUGGGGUAAAGGCCUACCAAGGCGACGAUCCGUAACUGGUCUGAGAGGAUGAUCAGUCACACUGGAACUGAGGCACGGUCCAGACUCCUACGGGAGGCAGCAGUGGGGAAUAUUGGACAAUGGGCGAAAGCCUGAUCCAGCCAUGCCGCGUGUGUGAAGAAGGUCUUCGGAUUGUAAAGCACUUUAAGUUGGGAGGAAGGGCAGUAAGUUAAUACCUUGCUGUUUUGACGUUACCAACAGAAUAAGCACCGGCUAACUUCGUG
rnacentral:rRNA from 1 species